CAGCAGCCACGGUAAUACGGAGGGGGCUAGCGUUGUUCGGAAUUACUGGGCGUAAAGCGUACGUAGGCGGCUUUGUAAGUUAGAGGUGAAAGCCUGGUGCUCAACACCAGAACUGCCUUUAAGACUGCAUCGCUUGAACGUCGGAGAGGUGAGUGGAAUUCCGAGUGUAGAGGUGAAAUUCGUAGAUAUUCGGAAGAACACCAGUGGCGAAGGCGGCUCACUGGACGACUGUUGACGCUGAGGUACGAAAGCGUGGGGAGCAAACAGGAUUAGAUACCCCCGUAGUCCCUGUCUCUUAUAC
rnacentral:rRNA from 1 species